rnacentral:rRNA from 1 species
AGUGAACGCUGGCGGUAGGCCUAACACACGCAAGUCGAACGGCAGCACAGGAGAGCUUGCUCUCUGGGUGGCGAGUGGCGGACGGGUGAGGAAUACAUCGGAAUCUACUCUGUCGUGGGGGAUAACGUAGGGAAACUUACGCUAAUACCGCAUACGACCUACGGGUGUAAGCAGGGGACCUUCGGGCCUUGCGCGAUUGAAUGAGCCGAUGUCGGAUUAGAUAGUUGGCGGGGUAAAGGCCCACCAAGGCGACGAUCCGUAGCUGGUCUGAGAGGAUGAUCAGCCACACUGGAACUGAGACACGGUCCAGACUCCUACGGGAGGCAGCAGUGGGGAAUAUUGGACAAUGGGCGCAAGCCUGAUCCAGCCAUACCGCGUGGGUGAAGAAGGCCUUCGGGUUGUAAAGCCCUUUUGUUGGGAAAGAAAUCCAGCUGGCUAAUACCCGGUUGGGAUGACGGUACCCAAAGAAUAAGCACCGGCUAACUUCGUGCCAGCCGCCGCCGUAA